rnacentral:tRNA from 1 species
GGGCAUAUGGUGUAGCUGGUUAUCACAUCCGCUUAGCACGUUGCUUGAGUGCGGGGGUCUCCGGUUCGAGUCCGGAUUUGUCCA